rnacentral:lncRNA from 1 species
UAAACCUCUUCACUCCAUAUUUAUCUUGAAGAUUAUGCUGAACAAAGUCCAUAGUCAUUCUUGGUGAUUUAGUCUCAGGUAUCUGAGUGCUUGUAGUUAUUUAUUUAUUCUUUUUCCCAGAGAUCAUUACAGCUUCUCGACAUGAGAAUCAAGAACUUUUUCCGUUCGUGUAUGGUUUUGUUACUUCAAAGAACAAAUCACAGGAACCUUGACAUCAGUUUCACCUCUCCUCUGGGGUUGAGAGAUGGAAAGAAGGGUCAGGAACUUGAACAGAAAUCCAGCCCUCAGUACAUUUCACCCUGCACAUAGGGAUGUGCACUGACUUGACUCUUGUGGAAUCCUGCAACCAGCCCAUUUUGCUUGUUUGAGGACCUGGAGAUGAUCCACCACCUAAGGUGGCACUGUGACCAGAAGAAAUUGAUUACCACUCCCUACAACUACAGAACUGAGCACGUUAGAGAUCCAUCCAGAGCGACUGCUAGCAGCAGUACUUGAAGCCUUUCCACUAAAGGUAAGUUGGGAGAAGUUGCAAUGGUGUACCUGGAAUAAGAAUGAGUCCUCCAUUGAUUUCCAGCAGCAGUUUGUGGAGGCUUUCUCAGAAUUUACUAGCAUGGACCCAGGAAGAGAUAAAAUCACUCCCUAAUCUUGGCAAACUUUGUCUCUGCUCUCUUGCUGACUAGCCAAGCCCAAAUUAAGGAAAAGGUGUUAGGAUAGCAAGGACAGACUAUUGUUCAAAUCCUAGCAGCAGCCACUACUCAGUUUAGGGAUAAGACAAAGAACAACAGAGAUUAAAGACUGCUGUUGGCUGCUCAGUGAGAAUUAGUUACUAAGGAGGAUAAUCCCUAUACCGGGCAAAGUAUAAAGAUAGCAAAGGAAGAGGAGAAAACAGAAUGUUGUUAUUGCAAAAUACCAGGGCACUGGAAGGACUAUAGAAAGAGACUCGGGAGGAUACCAAAAUUGCAGAGUCAAGAGAGUCAGGAAAGCUGAGAAAGAUGAAACCCUCAGCUAGGAAAUAGUUGGCAAAUGGCUCAAAACUGACAGAUUGGGGGAAUCUCAGAGGUGGGAAGUGGUAAACCAUCUAUGUCAAGGACUUCCAUCCUUGGCUUUUCUGGUAGAUAUUGGUGCUACUUAUUCUGCAGUUUC